rnacentral:rRNA from 1 species
AUACGGAGGGUGCAAGCGUUAAUCGGAAUUACUGGGCGUAAAGCGCGCGUAGGCGGCUUGGUCAGUCGGAUGUGAAAGCCCCGGGCUUAACCUGGGAAUUGCACUCGAUACUGCCGAGCUAGAGUAUGGGAGAGGGAAGUGGAAUUUCCGGUGUAGCGGUGAAAUGCGUAGAUAUCGGAAGGAACACCAGUGGCGAAGGCGACUUCCUGGCCCAAUACUGACGCUCAGGUGCGAAAGCGUGGGUAGCGAACGGGAUUAGAAGCCCUAGUAGUCC